rnacentral:rRNA from 1 species
UUGGAUCCAGACUUUGAUCAUGGCUCAGGAUGAACGCUAGCUACAGGCUUAACACAUGCAAGUCGAGGGGCAGCGGGAUUGAAGCUUGCUUCAAUUGCCGGCGACCGGCGCACGGGUGAGUAACGCGUAUCCAACCUUCCGUACACUCAGGGAUAGCCUCUCGAAAGAAAGAUUAAUACCUGAUAGUAUCUUAAGCACACAUGUAAUUAAGAUUAAAGAUUUAUCGGUGUACGAUGGGGAUGCGUUCCAUUAGGUAGUAGGCGGGGUAACGGCCCACCUAGCCAACGAUGGAUAGGGGUUCUGAGAGGAAGGUCCCCCACAUUGGAACUGAGACACGGUCCAAACUCCUACGGGAGGCAGCAGUGAGGAAUAUUGGUCAAUGGACGAGGGUCUGAACCAGCCAAGUAGCGUGAAGGAUGAAGGUCCUACGGAUUGUAAACUUCUUUUAUAAGGGAAUAAACCCUCCCACGUGUGGGAGCUUGUAUGUACCUUAUGAAUAAGCAUCGGCUAACUCCGUGCCAGCAGCCGCGGUAAUACGGAGGAUGCGAGCGUUAUCCGGAUUUAUUGGGUUUAAAGGGAGCGCAGACGGGUCGUUAAGUCAGCUGUGAAAGUUUGGGGCUCAACCUUAAAAUUGCAGUUGAUACUGGCGUCCUUGAGUGCGGUUGAGGUGUGCGGAAUUCGUGGUGUAGCGGUGAAAUGCUUAGAUAUCACGAAGAACUCCGAUUGCGAAGGCAGCACACUAAUCCGUAACUGACGUUCAUGC